GGAGUUAUUUGGUUCAAAGAAUAAGAAAAGACAUCAGUUUUUUAUGGCACAUUAAGUGGAUUUUUUUGACUAUUCGGUUACCUUGUUUUAGCAUUAUAAAUAGAUGUAAUCAGCCAUAGAGAAAGAAGAACUUUUUGCUGAAUAUAGAUGAAAUAUUUGAAUUGUGAGCUAUCAAUUCUCUUUGUUCUUACGGAAUUGAUUUGACUUAUCAAGCAUAGCUUGUGGCGUCCAUCUUUCCUUUGUUGCUGAACUUAUCACCUUUGGUGUGGCG
rnacentral:lncRNA from 1 species